rnacentral:pre_miRNA from 15 species
UAACCGUCAGCCAAACGGACCCUUAUAUAAUUUUGAUUGUUGCUCAGAAAGCCCGUAAUUUAACUUAACAUGGCUUUCGAGUAAUAAUCGAAACCAAAUAAGGCAUCCAAACAUCAUUUUGUCAA